rnacentral:rRNA from 1 species
AAACGAGUGCCCCAAGUGUUAUCCGGAAUAACUGGGCGUAAAGGGUGCGUAGGCGGCUAUAUUAGUCUUUUUUUAAAUCCCCAGGCUUAACCUGGGAACCGCAAAGGAAACGGUAUAACUAGAGGAUGUGAGAGGUGUGUGGAACUCAUGGUGUAGGGGUGAAAUCCGUUGAUAUCAUGGGGAACACCAAAUGCGAAGGCAACACACUGGCACAUUCCUGACGCUGAGGCACGAAAGCGUGGGUAGCGAAAGGGAUUAGAAACCCUAGUAGUCC